rnacentral:rRNA from 1 species
UACGUAGGGGGCAAGCGUUUGUCCGGAUUUAUUGGGCGUAAAGAGCGUGUAGGCGGCUUUACAGGUCCGUUGUGAAAACUCGAGGCUCAACCUCGAGACGCCGGUGGAAACCGUAAGGCUAGAGUCCGGAAGAGGAGAGUGGAAUUCCUGGUGUAGCGGUGAAAUGCGCAGAUAUCAGGAGGAACACCCGUGGCGAAAGCGGUUCUCUGGGCCGAUACUGACGCUGAGGAGCGAAAGCGUGGGGAGCGAACAGG